UUCCAUUUUAAAUAAAUAAGGGAAUAAAAAU
rnacentral:sRNA from 1 species